UAGGGAAUCUUCCGCAAUGGACGAAAGUCUGACGGAGCAACGCCGCGUGAGUGAAGAAGGAUUUCGGUUCGUAAAACUCUGUUGUUAGGGAAGAAAAAAUGUAUAGUAACUAUAUACAAAAGAGACGGUACCUAACCAGAAAGCCACGGCUAACUACGUGCCAGCAGCCGCGGUAAUACGUAGGUGGCAAGCGUUGUCCGGAAUUCUUGGGCGUAAAGCGCGCGCAGGUGGUUUAGAAAGUCGGAUGUGAAAGCCCACGGCUCAACCGUGGAGGGUCAUUGGAAACUAAUAAACUUGAGUGCAGGAGAGAAAAGUGGAAUUCCUAGUGUAGCGGUGAAAUGCGUAGAGAUUAGGAGGAACACCGGUGGCGAAAGCGGCUUUUGGGCAUGCAACUGACACUGAGGCGCGAAAGCGUGGGGAGCAAACAGG
rnacentral:rRNA from 1 species